AUCCCUAAUUAAUGGUAGUUAAGGUGUUCGUUGCUAAAACAUUUCUUUAACAACCUGCACUUAACAAAAUGCCAGAAGAUACCAGAAGAUUUAGCUGUAUUCCAGACAAAUUCAAGAACAGAUUAAGGUGUAAUUCAGAGAGCAGUCUUCAAACCUUUGCUGUAUUGACUCUGAGUUGUCAGGGGACUCAGGCUUAUGAGGAGGUACUGUCACAUAAAACAGUGUCUGGUGAAGACAACAAGAAAGAGGGGAAAGGAUCGGAAAAAGAAGCUAAAACACUGUAGGAAACCAUGAGAUCUAUUAGAUCUUUUGCCAAUGAUGAUCGCCAUGUUAUGGUGAAACAUUCAACAAUCUAUCCAUCUCCAGAGGAACUUGAAGCUGUUCAGAAUAUGGUGUCUACUGUUGAAUGUGCUCUUAAACAUGUCUCAGAUUGGCUGGAUGAAACAAACAAAGGCACAAAAACAGAGGGGGAGACAGAAGUGAAGAAGGAUGAAGCCACAGACACCUAUUCCAAGGAUCAAGGUGGUCGGACAUUGUGUGGUGUAAUGAGAAUUGGCCUGGUUGCAAAAGGCUUGCUGAUUAAAGAUGAUAUGGACUUGGAGCUGGUUUUAAUGUGCAAAGACAAACCCACAGAGACCCUGUUAAAUACAGUCAAAGAUAAUCUUCCUAUUCAGAUUCAGAAACUCACAGAAGAGAAAUAUGAAGUGGAACAAUGUGUAGAUGAGGCAUCUAUUAUAAUUCGGAAUACAAAAGAGCCCACGCUAACUUUGAAGGUGAUACUUACUUCCCCUCUAAUUAGGGAUGAAUUGGAGAAAAAGGAUGGAGAAAAGGUUGCGAUGAAAGAUCCUCCAGACUUAUUGGACAGGCAGAAAUGCCUGAACGCCUUGGCGUCUCUUCGACAUGCCAAAUGGUUUCAGGCAAGGGCAAAUGGAUUAAAAUCGUGUGUCAUUGUCCUUCGUAUUCUGCGUGAUUUGUGCAACAGAGUCCCCACAUGGGCACCAUUAAAAGGAUGGCCACUAGAGCUUAUAUGUGAAAAGUCUAUAGGUACUUGUAAUAGACCUUUGGGCGCUGGGGAGGCCUUGAGACGAGUAAUGGAGUGUUUGGCAUCUGGAAUACUACUUCCUGGGGGUCCUGGUCUUCAUGAUCCUUGUGAGCGAGAUCCAACAGAUGCUCUGAGCUAUAUGACCAUCCAGCAAAAAGAAGAUAUUACCCAUAGUGCCCAGCAUGCACUGAGACUGUCAGCCUUUGGCCAGAUUUAUAAAGUGCUGGAGAUGGACCCACUUCCGUCUAGUAAGCCUUUUCAAAAAUACUCCUGGUCAGUUACUGAUAAAGAAGGUGCUGGAUCUUCAGCUUUGAAAAGGCCAUUUGAAGAUGGAUUAGGAGAUGAUAAAGAUCCCAAUAAGAAGAUGAAACGGAACUUAAGGAAAAUUCUGGAUAGUAAAGCAAUAGAUCUUAUGAAUGCGCUAAUGAGGCUAAAUCAGAUCAGGCCUGGGCUUCAGUAUAAGCUCUUAUCUCAGUCUGGCCCUGUCCAUGCCCCAGUCUUCACAAUGUCUGUAGAUGUGGAUGGUACAACAUACGAAGCCUCAGGACCAUCCAAGAAAACAGCAAAGCUUCAUGUAGCAGUGAAGGUAUUGCAGGCAAUGGGAUACCCAACAGGCUUUGAUGCAGAUAUUGAAUGUAUGAGUUCCGAUGAAAAAUCAGAUAAUGAAAGCAAAAAUGAAACAGUGUCUUCAAACUCAAGCAAUAAUACUGGAAAUUCUACAACUGAAACCUCCAGUACCUUAGAGGUAAGAACUCAGGGCCCUAUUCUCACAGCAAGUGGCAAAAAUCCUGUAAUGGAGCUCAAUGAAAAAAGAAGAGGUCUGAAGUAUGAACUCAUCUCGGAGACUGGUGGAAGCCAUGACAAGCGCUUUGUGAUGGAGGUAGAAGUAGACGGACAGAAAUUCAGAGGUGCAGGUCCAAAUAAGAAAGUGGCAAAGGCGAGUGCAGCAUUAGCUGCUCUGGAGAAGCUGUUUUCUGGACCCAAUGCAGCAAAUAAUAAGAAAAAGAAGAUUAUCCCUCAGGCAAAGGGUAUUGUGAAUACAGCUGUGUCUGCAGCAGUCCAGGCUGUUCGAGGCAGAGGAAGAGGAACUCUAACAAGGGGAGCUUUUGUUGGGGCUGCAGCUGCUCCUGGCUACAUAGCUCCAGGCUAUGGAACACCAUAUGGUUACAGCACAGCUGCCCCUGCCUAUGCUGGUGAAAUUUGAUGCCCCCAUUUUUCACAUAAAAGAUUUGUUUUUAAAUGUUACUGUGAUGCCAACCUACUAAAAUGAUGCUUUAUUUUGGCUGUAAGGUUAAUACUUUUAAGCAGUUUUCAGCACGUUUAUCUCACUUUAUUCUCGUUCUCCUCGGACCUUCGUAGCCAUAUCACUUAUAUAAAAUAGGCUGAGAUAUAGUGACUGUAAGCUGUGCUCUCAGUAUACAAAGGUAAGCUCUUUUACUUUCUGAUUAAAGAGAAAAGUAAUUAAAAAUGGAUGAACACAACAUGCAUGCAUAUAUUACAAUCAUAUAUGAUGUAUUUGAUCUCUUAGGUCUUAUGGCAUCACAUUUCCUUUAAAAAAUUUUGUAUGAUCUAAAUGUAAAAUAAUUAUUUUCGGCGUUUCUUUUAAUACCCUUGUUUUACUUUCUAUUCAAGAGACAUUUCACUUUUGCUGAGUUAAGUGUGUGUAUGAGUGUAGAAACUUAAAAUAUAACAUAUGUGAAUUACACACACAUACCUGUUUAAAGAAAAGAAUUCAGUGGUAGAAAGAGUUCACCUAAGAAGAUUUUAACAUCAGGGCACUCUUGGCCAAAGUGCUGGGAUUUCAUAAGCAGCAAGGUUGGUGACAGUGCUGGUAGGAUGCAUUUAUAUGUAGUUGUUACACAAGCUGAGGAUUGAAGUGCCAAUUUCUCAAGGAGAAAAACUUCUCUGAGAAAUGAAAAUCUCUGAUCUAUGUUGUAUGCCCUAAUGCAACAGCAGCAAGAAGCCAUAAAAAAAAAAAGCAAUAGAAAAUGAAAAAAACCAAAAUAUUAAGGUAACUAUGGGAAAAUAUGUAAUUGACUGAGUUAAGCUAACUAUUUGCAGAACCAAAUUUGGCAAGACUCAGAAUGGUAAAUACCCAGGGACCAAAUAGAUGUAAGGCAACUCACCUGUCUUUCUAGGUUCGGUAGCUAGGUGAUUUAUUUCCCACCUCAUUCAGCCAUCAUGGAGUUUAAAAUAUGUCAGGGUUAGGCCAAAUAUUUUAAUAAGGAUUUGCUUUGUUUAGUGUGUCCCAUAUAUGCAUUUCACAUGUGUCAGAUGUUCUGUGCUAAGGCUAUGUUUUUUUAUAUAGAUUAAAAUGAAUUUUAUGUUUUA